GAAGGUCCCGAGCGUUGUUCGGAAUCACUGGGCGUAAAGGGAGCGUAGGCGGCGUGGUAAGUCAGACGUGAAAUCCCGGGGCUCAACCCCGGAACUGCGUCCGAUACUGCCGUGCUAGAGGAUUGGAGAGGUAGCUGGAAUUCACGGUGUAGCAGUGAAAUGCGUGGAUAUCGUGAGGAACACUCGUGGCGAAAGCGAGCUACUGGACAACUCCUGACGCUGAGGCUCGAAGGCCAGGGUAGCGAAAGGGAUUAGAUACCCCUGUAGUCCUGGCAGUAAACGGUGUGCGCUUGGUGUGGCGGGAAUCGACCCCUGCCGUGCCGGAGCUAACGCGUUAAGCGCACCGCCUGGGAAGUACGGUCGCAAGACUA
rnacentral:rRNA from 1 species